UACGGGGGGGGCAAGCGUUGUUCGGAAUUACUGGGCGUAAAGGGCUCGUAGGCGGCCCACUAAGUCAGACGUGAAAUCCCUCGGCUUAACCGGGGAACUGCGUCUGAUACUGGAUGGCUUGAGAUUGGGAGAGGGAUGCGGAAUUCCAGGUGUAGCGGUGAAAUGCGUAGAUAUCUGGAGGAACACCGGUGGCGAAGGCGGCAUCCUGGACCAACACUGACGCUGAUGAGCGAAAGCCAGGGGAGCAAACGGG
rnacentral:rRNA from 1 species